UACGUAGGGUGCAAGCGUUGUCCGGAAUUAUUGGGCGUAAAGAGCUCGUAGGCGGUCUGUCACGUCGGCUGUGAAAACCUGGGGCUCAACUCCGGGCCUGCAGCCGAUACGGGCAGACUAGAGUUCGGCAGGGGGAGACUGGAAUUCCUGGUGUAGCGGUGGAAUGCGCAGAUAUCAGGAGGAACACCGGUGGCGAAGGCGGGUCUCUGGGCAGUAACUGACGCUGAGGAGCGAAAGCGUGGGGAGCGAACAGG
rnacentral:rRNA from 1 species